UGGGAAUCGGUCAGCAAGCGGAGAGUGGAUCUUGUAAGGAAGAUGGGGCCUUGGAGAACCUAUAAGUCAAGAGUGAGCAGGCAAGCCAGAAGGGCUGCACUACGACGGCACCCUUCAACCAUCUGACUUCAGAAUCCAAAAAUCAAGAUCAAAUAGGCUGGUGCCAGAAGAGUUAAAAAUUGAUGCCAAAGCCUUAUUGGAAGAAUAGGCUUUCAGAUGAAGGAAGGAUUAAAAAAAAAAGUAUAUCCCAUCACUAAUUUUUCUUCUGAUAGUUUUGACAUUACUUGUCUCAAAGAACCAACUUGUCUUUAAAACUAUAUACGGCCCUCAAAUGUUUACGAACUGCAAUCCUAUUCCCCCUAUUCUCCUUUUUUAACAGAUUAAAUAAGCUAUAUUCCAUAGCUCUAAUCACUUUAAUGAUUCUCCUCUGUGCAAUUUCUAUCCAUAAAAGUGUAAAAAUAAA
rnacentral:lncRNA from 1 species